rnacentral:rRNA from 1 species
UCCCCAUUCGACCCGUCUUGUAACACGGACCAAGGAGUCUGACAUGUGUGCGAGUCAACGGGCGAGUAAACCCGUAAGGCGCAAGGAAGCUGAUUGGCGUGAUCCCCCCGAGGGGUGCAACGCCGACCGACCUCGAUCUUCUGAGAAGGGUUUGAGUGUGAGCAUACCUGUCGGGACCCGAAAGAUGGUGAACUAUGCCUGAGCAGGGCGAAGCCAGAGGAAACUCUG